CUGCGUCACUGGAUAAUUAAACUGUCAGACACAAACUCUGAGCUCUCAUACUAGGAAUAGUGAGGACACCUAGCAGAAGCGCGGGGGGUCAAGGAUCCGCACAGAUUCUCUAAAUGGAAAUCGGAUCUGCCUCUCGGGUUCAUUUGGGCACCGAAGACCGAAAGUAAAGCGACAUCAGGACGCGGAACCUCGGAGGAUCAGCAGGAGGUAAAAUCACACAAUCAGCAGAAUGUCAGAGAUGGAUAUACCCACUGUGACAGGUGUGAGUGUUUUAGAAUCAGAUAAUUCACUACAUCAGAAGGAUAAAGGGCCUGUGAUUGGUGGUUUACGUCUUCGAUCUGCACCUGGAGCUUGUGUGCUCUUCGCUGGCGUGUUGCUGCUUGUAGGCAUUGGAGUGGCCAUCGGUGGAUACUGGCCCCAUCGCAAUCGGAGACCAGUGCCACAUCAUGCAACAUCUGGCCGCACACCCUCAGAAAAACUUAAAUUGGUCGGUCCUAUAAUUAUGGGAGUGGGGCUUUUCAUCUUCAUUUGUGCAAACACACUUCUCUAUGAGAACCGGGACCACAGGCUGAAGCAAGCCAGCCAAAAAAAUGAUACACUAGAGGGACGACGAAACUCAAAAAGCUGCUCACAACCUGAAACAAACACCAACACACACACUCUGGCCUUGUCUGAAAUCAACAGUCACUGCCUGCAAGGAGGGAUUUCUGAUCCAGCCCUUAAGUGCUCUUCCCCUUCCUCUGCCUCUUUAAACUCAAGUCAGAUGAACUUUGACCUUGUAGAUAGCAGGGAUGCUGUUAUGUUGAUUUCUCCAGUCAUCAAGCUGAACAACUGCCUUAUAAGGGGUCAAGAUGCUCCACCCCUUCUACAGCACUUACCAGCCCAUGAUGAGAGGGGCCAGUGUAAAAGGGCGGGGCCAAUAAUAACAGAGCAUUCAAGUGUAUUUCUAAUGAGAGAAAGCUGGGCAGAAAUUAAUACAGGACAGUGUGGACCAUUAAAGUAUACACAGACUGUGGAUAAGUAGCCACAAUAUCACUCUAUAAUUCCUCUUGCAAUAAUAUUUAAACUAGAAAAAUGGUAACUAAAGUAGCCUGGGCUUCUUUGGUUUGUACCUCUGGGGAAACCCUUAAAGAGAACCAUAAUAUCUUAAAUAUCCAAAGACCCCCUGAAGACCCCUUUUUAAAUAAGUGCAAUGUAGAAUCUUAGAACUGUGGGUCUAUCAGAAAGGAUUCAAAGUAGAAUCUAUUUAGGAGCUAAGAACCGUUAACUAUCCAAAUAAUCAUUUAAAACAAUUAAAUAGCUCUUUUAUCUGUGUGUAUAUUGCUUAAAAUUUUUUAUCUAGUACCUUAAGUGGUUCUUUGUAUGUCCCUCUGGGAGAACCCUUAAAGAGUCUGUGUAGAAGCGUAGAGCAAAAAUGCGUCCUAAAACCCUGAACUAUCCAAAGAGCACUUGAGGAACUGUAUUUUUCUAAGAUUGUAUAACGCAUAAAUAUAUUACUCUUAGAAAAAUAGGUUAAAUCUAGAACUCUUAAGGGUUCUCUGGUUGUGUGGGGGAACUUUUAAAAGUUCUAUGUAACCCUACAAAUGAAGUAGAACUCCUUUAGGAAGGAAACAUUAAAUAAGCCAUUUUUAACCAUUUUUACCAAGAGCUUAUGGUUUAGCAUUAUGCACAAUAAUGUUAAUGGUGAAUGUAAUGUUCAUGUUUGUUAAUGUUAAUGCCACAUUAAUGUUUAUUCCAUAUUUAUUUUUGUGCUAUCAAAGCACCAGGCAACAUUAAGGCUGACAUUUUUCCAGACUAUUUGUAGAAUUUGACCCUUGGAGCUAAAGAGAUAUAAAUAAAAACCUGUUCAGUGUCACUAAUGUAUAUUUGUUCCUGUCACAGAUUCUUUCCUAAACACUCUGAUUUUCUAACAUGGCUUUUCUUAGACGUAGCUUCCUUCUCACCACACUCCCAUAGAGGCCAGACCUGCGAAGAGCUGAUGAUAUUGAUGAGGUCUGCACAGGUUCUCAUAUUUCAACCAGUGAGCUCUGUAACCACUUCAGUGUUGUUGCUGGACUCUAGGAAACUUCUCUGACAGUUGUCCUUCUUGCCCAAGCACUCAGAUUGUCCUGAUCUUGGUAGUGGUUGUGUAAUAUUUUUUUUCUACUUUGUUAUAAAGGAUUUCACAGUGCCCCUAUGAAGGUUCAAAACUUUGCAGAUGUUUAGAAUAUAUUAUAAUUUGCAGGUGUAACAACCUUUUCCCAUCCAAGCUUAGACAAAGGUGAAAAAUGCAUUAUCUACUGUUGAGACUGAUGAGCUGUCUGAUUAAUAAAAUUAUGUGCUCCCACGAUAAAAUGUGCCCUUGGUUUAAAGGAUAAACUGACCAAGCACUCAUCAGCUUUAAUUACUUUAAGUAUAAAAAAUAUAUUUAAGUUCAGAGUCUGCUUAUAAAAAGUCAUAUGAACUUGAUAUGUGAAUAAUCUCAUGAUUCACAUGUGACAUUUAAAUGUGGUUUUAGCCACUUUACAUGUAGUGUGUGAAGUUUUAUUUUCAUGUGAAUGUUUCUUUUUUACACAGAUUUUACAUACAUGUAUUUAUUUGUGUUCAUUUUUUUAUGAUUCAUUCAUUUUCACAUUUGAAGUUUACACAGGAUUCAUUCCUUUUUUUUUUUUUACACAGUUCAUUUAUUUUCAUGUUAAUUUUUCAAAUGUAAGGCAUGUGGAUUAAUUUUUCAGUUAUGAAUAUUUCCACAUGCGCAAAAGACGUCACAUGUUUACUUGAGUUCACAUGGGCACUUUCAGGGCAUAACAUAGUGAAGUGGUUUCCACAUGUGAUCACAUAUUAUUCACAUAAUCACAUGUAAAAUGUAUGUGAUUUGUCCAUAAGCAUUGUGUCAGAAUUGUGCCGAUGCAACUCCCACUCCCAUACAACUGUCAGAGUUACACCAAAGUCUGUAGCUAUGCCUGAGAUCUGAAAAGCGAUGUGCACAGUUUUGGUAUUAACUCAACACUACAAUUCAUUAGUCUUACUUGAAACUGUUACUUUUACAACAUAUUGAAUUCGUAAAAAUAAUUAAUCAUUGCUGACAAAUCGUUGUUCAUGUUUCGUUUGUGUCUGCGUUGUGGAGAGCUGGCAAAAGAAAAUAAUUUGCAGAAGGAUUGAUUCUUUAUGAAAUAGUUUUCAUAGUUUCAAAAAUAAUGUAUUUUUUACUGUUCGUGCUGUAUCUUCACUGUUGUCAGACAUCAUUUCUUGAAUGUUAUACUGCAUUUGCAAACGUAUUUAUAGCCGACUACUGCAUUUCUGUGUCUGUGUAUGCAUUUGUUCAAAGAGAUGACUUUGAAGAAAUGUCAGACAGUGUAUAAAGGGG